GAUUUAUUUAUACAGUAUUCUGUCUGUAGGCCAGAAGAGGGCACUGGAUCUCAUUAUAGGUGGUUGUGAGCCACCAUGUGGUUGCUGGAAAUUGAACUCAGGACCUCUGGAAGAGCAGGACCUCUUAACCGCUGAGCCAUUUCUCCAGCCCCCUAAAUAAGUAAAAUUUAAAAAGGGAAUAUUCAAGAACUAACUAACCUCAAUUCUUCCCCUUUGUCUGCACAACUAGUUAAGAUAGUAAGACCCUGCCUUAAAACAACCGAACAAAAAACCAAACAACAAUCCCCUCAUAAAACAAAAAAGCAAACAAACAAACAAACAAAAAAAAAACCCCACACCCCAAACAACCAAACGAAAAGAGUAUGUAAGACUAAAUUCUCGGGGCUGUACUUUCCCACAGAGCACAAUCCAGCUGUUUCCAGCACACCACGCCUACUUUUGCUGCCUCCUCCCAGUGUUAGCUGCUUGGAGAUGCUGCCACCACGUCAACUGGGGGUGAAAACUGAGGUGCAAUCUACUUAACUAUGUUCUUAAGAAUAUUUUAUGUGUUUGUAUUUAUUUUAUUUUAUAUGUAUGAGUGUGCUAUACAUAUAUGCACAUAUAUGUGCACCAUUUUUGAGACUGGGGAAGGUGAAAAGAAGGAGGGCAUGGGAUCCCUUGGAACUACGGUUACAGAUGGCUGUGAGCUACCAAGUGCUCUUAAUUGCCGAGCCACCUCUCCAGCCCCUGCUUUACUUUUAAUAAUCUGAAUCCUUGGCUGAUAAACUGGAAGCUAAAGACUUACUUAAAAAAAUUUAGUGUGUGCGCAUGCCAUGUAUGUGCUGAGCCUAUGGAGGCCAUAAGAGUGUCAGAUACUCUGGAGUUAUAGGCAGUUGUGAUCUACCCAAUAUGGGUGCUGGGAACUGAACCAGGUCUUCUGGAAAAGCAGCAAGUAAUUUUUACCAUUGAGCCAUCUCUCCGGCUCUUCCAGAGCUCUCUGACACACACUGGUUACUGGCAGCAAUGCAUAGACACUACUCAACAUGUGUGGUGGCAUAUUUCUGCACUCUGGAGGGAUACAAUAGGUCUGAAGCAGUUCGGGUUGCAUUUGGGUUGCAAUGAGAUCUUGUUUCAACAACAAAAACAAAACACACAGUCCCUGAACAGAUUUUACUGUGACCUAGUGCAUUGGAUUGGGUAUAUACUGGGCUAUGAGGCAAACUACAUACUUAGUUUCUAUUGGUAUGUAAAAUUAUAUACUGUUAUUCAAUGAGAAAUUCUCAUUAGGUAGAUAGAAUAUCUUCUCUGUGUGGCUGUGAACAAUACUGCAGAAGAGGGAAAGGCAGAGUAGGAACAGCUGGAGGGAAGGGCACACUUGGGGGAUAAAGGCAGCUGGAUCUCUGUGAGCUCAAGGCCAGUGCAGUCUGUAUGGUAAAUUCCAGGCCAGCCAGGUUAUUACAUCCAUAUUCCUUUAAUGUCUGACAUUAUAGAAAGAGUUUGUGAAUGAAAACACAGCCCUCUCUUUUUCGCACUCAUUAUACCAGCAAUUUCCAAAUAUUUAUAGUUAAAUGAGAAAAAGUUAUCCCUUCUUUUAAAAAAUCUGCUAAAAGCAUGCAUGUUAUACAUGAAAAAUAUUCCAACUACUCAUCUACCGUAAUGAAUUAACUGAAACUAAAGGCACCAGGAGCUGGAGAGACGGCUCCGCAGUUGAGUGCUUGCUGCUCUUCUGACAUCCACAUCCACGUCUGACCUUCUGGCCUCUGGGGCACCCCACCCCCCACCCAACGAUGAAAAUUAAAACAAAACUGAAGAUGAAGGCAGAAGCUUAGGAAGCACACAGCCGCAGAAGGCUGGGCCCCUUCAUGUGUUCCCAUUGCCCAGCAGCCACACUGACCCUUUACUGACAGUGCUUUCUUGCCUACAAGAGAUUGGAUCAUGAAGUUGUCUGGAACUCAAAAGGUCACAUUCUUCACUAAUACUGAAAACAUCUCUGAUCCCUUCAGUUACCUCUCCUGAAUAAUAUUUCCUUCAUCAUUUUAGUUCCUCCUCUCUAUUUUCAACUGAUGUGGGAUUCCCCUCUGUAUGCUGUGAAUACCAUUGAUUAAUAAAGAAACUGUCUUGGGCCUGCGCAGGGAAUAGAGGUAGGUGGGGAAAACUGAACUGAAUGCUGGGAGAAAGAAGGCAGAGUCAGGGAGAAGCCAUAGAGCUACCUCCAGAGACAGACAUGCUGGAACCUUGUCAGUAGGUCACGAGACUCAUGGUAAAAUAUAAAAUAAUGGAAAUGGGUUAAAUUAAGAUGUAAAAGCUAGCCAAUAAAAAGAUAGAACUAAUGGGCCAAGCAGUGAUUUAAUUAAUACAGUUUCUGUGUGGUUAUUUUGGGACUGAGUAGCUGGGAACCAAUAAUUGGCCUGUUACAACAUUCAGAGGCUGCAAAAUUCAAGACAAUGCCCCUGCCCACAACCCCUGCAUUUCGACCAAACCCAGGCAGCUCUGGGAGCUGAAAACAGUCCAUGUGACCAGAACAGAGUUCAGUUAUUUGUGGUUCUGCCACGUGGUGCGCCUGGCCCCUUCCCCAACACAGCUUUCUAUCCCCCCACUUCUCUCUGAUGGCACGAAAGGCAGAAAUUAGGGGAGAAGAGCUGGGAGCCCCACAGGCAUAUAUUCUGAAGUGCUACAGCCAGAGGAAGCUGAUCCCAUCCAAGAUCUCAGCUGAGACACCAACCCUGAGGCAACUUACCCACCCCAGGUUGCUUCAGGAAUUUCACACAGUUAAGUAAGAAAUAGAAGACACACUACAGAAGCAUUAACUGCAACUUUAACACAGCAUGCCAACACAGAAGGGACAGGCGGCGCCAGUUUAAAACACACUGUGAGGACCUAUGCACUAACAGCACAGGUUACAGUUCUGCUGAAGCAGUCACUGUCACGUGAGCUGCUAGUCUUUACUGACUGCAGCGUUUCCCAUCGCCUUGGUUAAGUUUAAAAUGGUCUUCUGACAUCUUUGAAACUUUAGGGGACUCUUAGCAGAAAAACAAGUUAUUAACAAGCAAAUUCAUUUUCUGUCUCACAUGCUAUCCAGCAUUAGGAGCCUGAUUUUCACAAGUACGAUUUACUUCAGUGAUUUUGUUCCAAAGAAAUUCAAAUAAGGGCAAAGAGUGAUUUACUCUGAAGUAAAAGCUUAAGAAGCAAGUACUGUGAGCCCAUUCAGCAGCAGCUGCCUGUGAUCCGCCCUGGGGGACAAUGGCCAGCUCUGCUACUAACAAAGACACUCUGCAGCUCUGUUCAGAGGCAGCGUGGGGAAGGGAGUGGGAGCUGGAGGAAGGGGGCUGGGCGCAGCGCAGGGACCCACCAUCCAACUAAACAUUAAACCUCCCCUGCUUCCUACCAGGGUCUUAGCAAUUAAAGAAAGCCUUUCAUAAUGGAAAAAAUUCUUUCAUGAAUUAUGAUAUUUCCUUUCAGCAGUUAAAGUUUGUGUUUUUGGGGGACGAGGUGUAUUUAGGAACACAGAUGAGAUGCAAAGUGGCCUUGAGUCAUCUGACAAGAAUGCCACACCACAAGCACUCAGGGGAACCUAAAGAGGAGGAAGCAAAGAAAGCCCUAGUCAGCUUCAGAGGGGGCAGCACUCCGCAGAAGAGGCUAGAAAACCCUCCUGGGCUGGCUAACACCAAGACUUCACAGAUGAAAAUAUAAAUUGCAGGAACCCGCUACCCUCGCUACACUUUUAAACUCAAGGAAGGAAUAUUUCAUUUGGGGAAAAGAUUUUUCUUUGAAGUGAGAUUUAAGUUGAGAGGAAGCGACUUGGCAAAGUUCCAGUCUAAAUUAUUUCCUGAAUGUGGUCUGGAGUGCCUCGGAACACUCUGACCCUCAGAACUACUUCCUGUUUUUCUGUCUAAUCAAAUUUUAUUUAUUUGUUUUCCUACGGACAUUAUAUGAGACUUGAUUUGUCUUUGUAAUCUCAUCCAAUAAUUAAAUUCUAUUUUCUCA